rnacentral:rRNA from 1 species
UACGUAGGGGGCAAGCGUUGUCCGGAUUUAUUGGGCGUAAAGAGCGUGUAGGCGGCUAGAUAGGUCCGUUGUGAAAACUGGAGGCUCAACCUCCAGCUGUCGAUGGAAACCAUCUGGCUAGAGUCCGGAAGAGGAGAGUGGAAUUCCUGGUGUAGCGGUGAAAUGCGCAGAUAUCAGGAAGAACACCCGUGGCGAAGGCGGCUCUCUGGGACGUGACUGACGCUGAGACGCGAAAGCAUGGGGAGCGAACAGG